CACCUCAAACUGAAUACGUUUCAAAUUUGAAGUUGAAGGCAAAUCAUCUGACUGUGAGUGCUGUUUAUUGCUGCCCUAAACUGUCUUUCCAACUCCAUCCACACUUUCUGACUUCCUCAAGAUGCUCUUUUCAUCAAAGAUUAUAUUCCUGUUGAUGACACACUUCUGAAAAUAUGGAUCCCAUGGCAAGCAACCCUUCACACCUGCAGGAUACCC
rnacentral:lncRNA from 1 species